rnacentral:rRNA from 1 species
CCUACGGGAGGCAGCAGUGGGGAAUCUUGCGCAAUGGGCGAAAGCCUGACGCAGCAACGCCGCGUGCGGGAAGAAGGCUCUCGGGUUGUAAACCGCUUUCAGCAGGAACGAAAAUGACGGUACUUGCAGAAGAAGGUGCGGCCAACUACGUGCCAGCAGCCGCGGUGACACGUAGGCACCAAGCGUUGUCCGGAUUUAUUGGGCGUAAAGAGCUCGUAGGCGGUUCGGUAAGUCAGGUGUGAAAACUUUGGGCUCAACCCAAAGCCUGCAUCUGAUACUGCUGUGACUAGAGUUCGGUAGGGGAGCGGGGAAUUCCUAGUGUAGCGGUGAAAUGCGCAGAUAUUAGGAGGAACACCGGUGGCGAAGGCGCCGCUCUGGGCCGAAACUGACGCUGAGGAGCGAAAGCGUGGGUAGCAAACAGGAUUAGAUACCCUGGUAGUCCACGCCGUAAACGUUGGGCACUAGGUGUGGGUUUCAACCAACGAAAUCCGCGCCGUCGCUAACGCAUUAAGUGCCCCGCCUGGGGAGGUACGGCCGCGAGUAAACGUACAAGUAGAGUAGACGGCGUGUAGACGUUGCGACGGACGACGACGAGGGAGGUUAGG